UACGUAGGGUGCAAGCGUUGUCCGGAAUCAUUGGGCGUAAAGAGCUUGUAGGCGGCCAGUUAAGUCCGCUGUGAAAUCUCGAGGCUCAACUUCGAGCUGUCGGUGGAAACUGUCUGGCUAGAGUCCGGAAGAGGAGAAUGGAAUUCCUGGUGUAGCGGUGAAAUGCGCAGAUAUCAGGAAGAACACCAAUGGCGAAGGCAGCUCUCUGGGACGGUACUGACGCUGAGAAGCGAAAGCGUGGGGAGCGAACAGG
rnacentral:rRNA from 1 species